rnacentral:rRNA from 1 species
AGUGAACGCUGGCGGUAGGCCUAACACAUGCAAGUCGAACGGCAGCACAGUAAGAGCUUGCUCUUACGGGUGGCGAGUGGCGGACGGGUGAGGAAUACAUCGGAAUCUACUUUUUCGUGGGGGAUAACGUAGGGAAACUUACGCUAAUACCGCAUACGACCUACGGGUGAAAGCAGGGGAUCUUCGGACCUUGCGCGAUUGAAUGAGCCGAUGUCGGAUUAGCUAGUUGGCGGGGUAAAGGCCCACCAAGGCGACGAUCCGUAGCUGGUCUGAGAGGAUGAUCAGCCAAACUGGAACUGGGCCACGGUCCAGACUCCUACGGGAGGCAGCAGUGGGGAAUAUUGGACAAUGGGCGCAGCCUGAUCCAGCCAUACCGCGUGGGUGAAGAAGGCCUUCGGGUUGUAAAGCCCUUUUGUUGGGAAAGAAAAGCAGCAGGUUAAUACCCCGCUGUUCUGACGGUACCCAAAGAAUAAGCACCGGCUAACUUCGUG